rnacentral:rRNA from 1 species
AGUGAACGCUGGCGGCAGGCCUAACACAUGCAAGUCGAACGACAGCACCGUAACUGCUUGCUCUUACGUGUGGCGCGCGGGGGACGGUUCCCGUAGACAUCGGAACCUACUCUUUCGUGGGGGCUAAUGUAGGGUAAUUUACGCUAAUAAAGCAUACGUCCUACGGGUGUAUGCAGGGGAUCUUUUGACUUUGCGCUAUUGUAUGAGCCGAUGUCUGAUUAGCUAGUUGGCGGGGUAAAGGCCCACCAAGGCGACGAUGCGUAGCGGGUCUGAGAGGGUGAUCAGCCACACUGGAACUGAGACACGGUCCAGACUCCUACGGGAGGCAGCAGUGGGGAAUAUUGGACAAAGGGCGAAAGCCUGAUCCAGCCAUACCGCGUGAGUGAUGAAGGCCUUCGGGUGGUAAAGCCCUGUUGUUGGGAAAGAAAAACAGCAGUUUUAUACCGCGCUGUUCUGACGGUACCCAAAGAAUAAGCACCGGCUAACUUCGUG